GACGAACGCUGGCGGCGUGCUUAACACAUGCAAGUCGAACGGUAAGGCCCUUCGGGGUACACGAGUGGCGAACGGGUGAGUAACACGUGGGUGAUCUGCCCUGCACUUCGGGAUAAGCCUGGGAAACUGGGUCUAAUACCGGAUAGGACUCCUGGCUUCAUGGUUGGGGGUGGAAAGCUUUUGCGGUGUGGGAUGGGCACGCGGCCUAUCAGCUUGUUGGUGGGGUAAUGGCCUACCAAGGCGACGACGGGUAGCCGGCCUGAGAGGGUGACCGGUCACACUGGGGCUGAGAUACGGCCCAGACUGCGACGGGAGGCAGCAGUGGGGAAUAUUGCACAAUGGGCGCAAGCCUGAUGCAGCGACGCCGCGUGAGGGAUGACGGCCUGCGGGUUGUAAACCUCUUUCAGCUAUGACGAAGCGCAAGUGACGGUAGUAGCAGAAGAAGGACCGGCCAACUACGUGCCAGCCGCCGCGGUAA
rnacentral:rRNA from 1 species